ACAACCUAAUAAGGUUAUGGGCUGUGACGAGCAUGUUGCAUGCACCUGGAAAUGGGAGAAAGGCAGGCGUGGAAUGAGCUUACCUGCUGCUCUACAUGAAAGCAGAAUUACUUUUAUAUUAUCUUGAUAAAACUAGUCAUCAACCUCUGUACAGCAGAAAAUCAACAUAGUCUGUAGACUUGGAAGUCGGGUUUUUUUCCACAUGCCUUUUCAUUUAUUUUCUGUCCCUUAUGAUUGCCUCUGGGGGAUAUUCCUGAUAUUGUCAUAUUGUUCCUCUGUGCUUGGUUCUCUGUAGCCUGCUGUUGGAGCUUGACUUAUAUUUGACUUUGGAACUCUUCAGACUUCUGUCUCCAAGAAGAUGAACUGUAACCUUUACUGCAGAGAGCUCCAUCAUGCCCAAGGAACAAAGAUGUUGACCACAGUCUUUCUUACACAAUUAAGUAAUCUUUUAGACAUUCUGACAAUAAACUGUGGACGGUCUGAAGGUCUGUCUGUUUAAAGUACUGUCAAACGUAAAACACCCUGAGAUAUCUCUUCCCAGAUCUGUGCCUUUAAAAGUGGGUUGAUAGGCCCCAUUUAGGUUCUUGAAUAAGCAGGCUUUUUGUAAUGAGAAAGGCUGUUGAUAUGAGUGAGCAUUUAUAGGAGAUAGCCUGAAACGGGGGACUGGCUACCGAUAAACAGUUGUAGGGCUUUAAGUCUUCUAAUGCCCUUUGAUUUAUCGUUUUAAGCAAUGUGGAGGUGUUUGGUUGAACAGUUUGUUUUUGCUUUGUUCUAAAAUAGUAAUAGUAUAGUGGGACUUUUUUUUGAGGUAGUUCAAGUAAGAAAUGUCACUUAGCAGCUCCCUUUAUGUUGUUGGAUAUCUAAAGAGAGCAGAGUGCAGGAGCCAGGCUUUCUUGCCCCCUGGUUGAACUCUGAGCCAACACUUUCCUAUAUGAUGCAAUAAAAUAACUUUUCCUUGUGUUGUGCA
rnacentral:lncRNA from 1 species